CUAUUACUCCCUCCGUUCGGAAUUACUUGUCGCAGAAAUGGAUGUAUCUAGAUGUAUUUUAGUUCUAGAUACAUCCAUUUUCGAGACAAGUAAUUCCGAACGGAGGGAGUACAUG
rnacentral:pre_miRNA from 1 species